rnacentral:rRNA from 1 species
AGCAGCAGCCGCGGUAAAACAGAGGGUGCGAGCGUUAAUCGGAUUUACUGGGCGUAAAGCGUGCGUAGGCGGCUUCUUAAGUCGGAUGUGAAAUCCCUGAGCUUAACUUAGGAAUUGCAUUCGAUACUGUGAAGCUAGAGUAUGGGAGAGGAUGGUAGAAUUCCAGGUGUAGCGGUGAAAUGCGUAGAGAUCUGGAGGAAUACCGAUGGCGAAGGCAGCCAUCUGGCCUAAUACUGACGCUGAGGUACGAAAGCAUGGGGAGCAAACAGGAUUAGAUACCCCCGUAGUCCCUGUCUCUUAUAC